GGGAAGUUGGCUCAGUGGUAGAGUGCUUGUUUUGAAUGCAUGAAGCCCUGGGUUCAAUUCCUCAGAACCA
rnacentral:tRNA from 1 species